UACGUAGGGGGCUAGCGUUGUCCGGAUUUACUGGGCGUAAAGAGCGCGUAGGCGGCUCGGUAAGUGUGAAGCUAAAUCUCUGGGCUCAACCCAGAAACUAUUUCGCAUACUGCCAAGCUGGAGUGAUGAAGAGGUUUGUGGAAUUCCUGGUGUAGCUGUGAAAUUCGUAGAUAUUCGGAGGAACAUCUGAGGCGAAGGCGAGAUUCUGGGCCACAACUGACACUGAGGCGCGACAGCGUGGGGAGCAAACAGG
rnacentral:rRNA from 1 species